rnacentral:rRNA from 1 species
AUACAGAGGGUGCAAGCGUUAAUCGGAAUUACUGGGCGUAAAGCGCGCGUAGGUGGUUUGUUAAGUUGAAUGUGAAAUCCCCGGGCUCAACCUGGGAACUGCAUCCAAAACUGGCAAGCUAGAGUAUGGUAGAGGGUAGUGGAAUUUCCUGUGUAGCGGUGAAAUGCGUAGAUAUAGGAAGGAACACCAGUGGCGAAGGCGACUACCUGGACUGAUACUGACACUGAGGUGCGAAAGCGUGGGGAGC